UACAGAGGGGGCAAGCGUUGUUCGGAAUUACUGGGCGUAAAGGGCGCGUAGGCGGCCUGCUAAGUCGAACGUGAAAUCCCCGGGCUCAACCCGGGAACUGCGUCCGAUACUGGUUGGCUUGAAUCCGGGAGAGGGAUGCGGAAUUCCAGGUGUAGCGGUGAAAUGCGUAGAUAUCUGGAGGAACACCGGUGGCGAAGGCGGCAUCCUGGACCGGCAUUGACGCUGAGGCGCGAAAGCCAGGGGAGCAAACGGGG
rnacentral:rRNA from 1 species